GGGAAGCUGAACAUGUGCCCAUGGUGUUCACACUUGGUCCACCUUCUUCCAAGCCAUUUGCUGCAGUCAAACCUGCCUCACUUUGGUUUCAUUGAUGGCCACCCCUUCCUCUCUCUCUGUCUCUCCACAAGGUUAAGAAGCUUACAGUUGGAGUGCUUUCUCCCUGGCUGAGAGGCAGGAGGGUGAGUGGCUGCAGAGGACGGACAGAUAAAACAGCACAAAAGCAUCACUGAUGGAGGAAGAUCAGACAAGUACAGGAGAAGCUGAGUAGGAUAACAGCAGAUGAAUAGGUCAGGUAUUGAUGAGAAGCAAAUCCCCCACCUAAAGAGGAUGAAAAUCCCACAACAUCUUGCACCACAAAGGUGAAACCUCUCGGGUACAGGUUCUACCUGACCUCCAGAACAGGAAAUUGGAUUAGUCAGGUAAGCAAGGAGACCACGAGAGCAACUUCUGCACCACCCAUAACCCUGCAAAACAUCACCAAGGCCUUGCACAGAGUAUUUAAUA